rnacentral:rRNA from 1 species
UACGAAGGGGGCUAGCGUUGCUCGGAAUCACUGGCGUAAAGCGCACGUAGGCGGAUUGUUAAGUCAGGGGUGAAAUCCUGGAGCUCAACUCCAGAACUGCCUUUGAUACUGGCGAUCUUGAGUCCGGGAGAGGUGAGUGGAACUGCGAGUGUAGAGGUGAAAUUCGUAGAUAUUCGCAAGAACACCAGUGGCGAAGGCGGCUCACUGGCC